AGGGGAUGGAUAGUGCAAGGUACAACUCCGAUUGCAAUGGUGAUGUAGAUGGGAUGAAGGUGGAGAUGGUGUUGGUGUUGGUGAUGAUGGUGAUGAUGAUCUCGAUGAUGCCCGUGGCGAUGGUGAUGACGAUGAGGACGAUCUCCCCUUCCGGGAAGAGUUCUCCUCGACGGAAUCUGCCCACCGGAAAGGUCUUUUCUUCUCUGUAGGUUUCCGCCGUGGAGCGGCGGCGGAAUUGCGAAAACUCUUCUGUCUCCAGAAUUUUUAGGUCAAGAGGGACAAAUAGGCCAAAGGGGAGUGCCGAAGGCUGGGCCCAUCACCCAGGCGGCCUCCUGGCGCGGCCUAGGAGGGGUCGCGCCAGCAGGUCGCCUGGGUGACCUGUGGCCCCCCUCCGGCCCCUCUUUGGCCUGUCUUCGGGAUCUUUUCGGAAACUUCUUCCCUCCAGAUUUCAGCGCAAUUGGAGAUGUUCUGAUAUUGCAACUCUUCGUGCUAUUUUCUCCGUUGAAUCCUGCGUCUACUGUUUCGGCACCGAAAAGUUGUAGACGGUGUAAAAUAAGCCAAAACACUAUAAGUACAUCAUCAUAAAGUGAAAUAUAUCAAUGAAUAGAGAUACAUUAUGAUACAAAAUAGUGAUGCAUUUUGGACGUAUCAACUCCCCCAAGCUUAGUUCUCGCUUGUCCCCAAGCAAAUACUGAGCUCGGUAAACCUGUCCACAAGUUUAGAGAGUGAAGUGUCAUAAAUAAUAAUACAAACAAGAAGCACCAUAAUUUCUCUACUAAACUCAACCAUCCUCAACAGCAAUC
rnacentral:lncRNA from 1 species